rnacentral:rRNA from 1 species
CCCUUAGAUGUCCUGGGCUGCACGCGCGCUACACUGAUGUGUCCAGUAAGCACCUAACCUCUUCCGAAAGGAACGGGUAACCUUUGCAAAGCACAUCGUGAUGGGGAUAGAUUAUUGCAAUUAUUAGUCUUGAACGAGGAAUUCCUAGUAAGCACAAGUCAUCAGCUUGUGUUGAUUACGUCCCUGCCCUUUGUACACACCGCCCGUCGCUCCUACCGAUUGAAUGUUCCGGUGAGCUCUUCGGACUGCGCGGGCUGCAGUUUCUGCGUUCCGUGCGGAAAGUUGCGCAAACCUUAACAUUUAGAGGAAGGAGAAGUCGUAACA